CAGCCGCCGCGGUAAUACGAAGGGGGCUAGCGUUGUUCGGAAUUACUGGGCGUAAAGCGCACGUAGGCGGAUAUUUAAGUCAGGGGUGAAAUCCCAGAGCUCAACUCUGGAACUGCCUUUGAUACUGGGUAUCUUGAGUAUGGAAGAGGUGAGUGGAAUUCCGAGUGUAGAGGUGAAAUUCGUAGAUAUUCGGAGGAACACCAGUGGCGAAGGCGGCUCACUGGUCCAUUACUGACGCUGAGGUGCGAAAGCGUGGGGAGCAAACAGGAUUAGAUACCCGAGUAGUCCCUGUCUCUUAUAC
rnacentral:rRNA from 1 species